GANNCUAGCUCAUGCUUGGUUAGAGCAGCAGACUCAUAAUCUGUUGGCUGUAGGUUCGAAUCCUACCGAGGGCAUGCCA
rnacentral:tRNA from 1 species